rnacentral:sRNA from 1 species
UGACACAGAGAGAACAGGGUUAUUUACGUAUCACAGGCCUUUGUCUGUGAAACUUAGAGUAGACGAAAUUUCUUUUUAGCAUUUUCUUUAAAGGUCUCCAGAUAUUUUAAAAAUAUGGAAAAUUGUUAUAUGUCAUAUCCUAAAUUAUUAUUUUAUGUGUUCUACUUUUUCUUUUAAGUAUGUUUUUGCUUUUAGGAGGAUUCUCUAUGGGAGGAAGCAUGGCAAUGCAUUUAGCAUAUAGAAAUCAUCAAGAUGUGGCAGGAGUAUUUGCUCUUUCUAGUUUUCUGAAUAAAGCAUCGGCUGUUUACCAGGCUCUUCAGAAGAGUAAUGGUGUACUUCCUGAAUUAUUUCAGUGUCAUGGUACUGCAGAUGAGUUAGUUCUUCACUCUUGGGCAGAAGAGACAAACUCAAUGUUAAAAUCUCUAGGAGUGACCACGAAGUUGCAUAGUUUUCCAGAUGUUUACCAUGAGCUAAGCAAAACUGAGUUAGACAUAUUGAAGUUAUGGAUUCUUACAAAGCUGCCAGGAGAAAUGGAAAAACAAAAAUGAAUGAAUCGAGUGAUUUGUUAAUGUAAGUGUAAUGUCUUUGUGAAAAGUGAUUUUUACUGCCAAAUUAUAAUGGUAAUUAAAAUAUUAAGAAAUAAC